rnacentral:lncRNA from 1 species
AAUUGUUAUUUACAGGUAAGGUUAAUUCUGUUACUGWAAGUGAGUUAAUGUGAAUUGGUCUUUUUGCCUUUUUUUAGGAUCAUGAUGUACUGAUGAAACUCAAUGAUAAUUGGAGGAAAGUUCAGAAGCUUUUCCCUUUUCAGCCUAAUGAUCUGAUUUCUCCAGCGACGUCGAGAAAGAUAAAGAAGCAAAAACAAAAUGCUAAAGAUUUUAUGAUCUCUGCAAGGCAGGCUCUCCCCUCAGUUCACACAUUCACAACUCUCAGUGACAGUGAUGAGAGGUCUGCCAUGGAUCAGAGGUAUCUCCAACACAAACAGAAACGGAGGAUUUCUGCAGAACCAUUAUGAAGGUACCUGGGGAAUCGUUUGCRUUCCAACUCCUUGCCUAGCUGUUCGCGCAAAAUCAAAGACUCCAGAAGUUGAGGACUGCCUACGGUUGAUCCCAGUACAAAGAGCUUUAUUGUCACAGCAUAUGCAGUAUGCAUCUUUAYAAUGAAAGAAGCCCCCUGAUUUUGGUCUUC